GAGUUUGAUCCUGGCUCAGGAUGAACGCUAGCGGCAGGCCUAAUACAUGCAAGUCGAGGGGCAGCAUCAUCGCUUGCGAUGGAUGGCGACCGGCGCACGGGUGCGUAACGCGUAUGCAACCUACCCUAUACAGGGGGAUAGCCCGGAGAAAUUCGGAUUAAUACCCCAUGGUAUCGUAAAGUAGCAUUGCUUAACGAUUAAAGAUUUAUUGGUAUAGGAUGGGCAUGCGUCUGAUUAGUUAGUUGGUGAGGUAACGGCUCACCAAGGCGAUGAUCAGUAGGGGUUCUGAGAGGAUGAUCCCCCACACUGGCACUGAGAUACGGGCCAGACUCCUACGGGAGGCAGCAGUAGGGAAUAUUGGUCAAUGGGCGAGAGCCUGAACCAGCCAUGCCGCGUGCAGGAAGACGGCCUUCUGGGUUGUAAACUGCUUUUAACAGGGAACAAAAGGGCUCUGCGGAGCACAUUGCGUGUACCUGAAGAAUAAGCACCGGCUAACUCCGUGCCAGCAGCCGCGGUAAUACGGAGGGUGCAAGCGUUGUCCGGAUUUAUUGGGUUUAAAGGGUGCGUAGCGGGCAAUUAAGUCAGUGGUGAAAUACUCCGGCUCAACCGGAGAGGUGCCAUUGAAACUGGUU
rnacentral:rRNA from 1 species